UACGUAGGGACCAAGCGUUGUUCGGAUUUACUGGGCGUAAAGCGUGCGCAGGCGGUUAUGCAAGUCAGAUGUGAAAUCCCCGGGCUCAACCUGGGAACUGCAUUUGUGACUGCAUGGCUGGAGUGCGGCAGAGGGGGAUGGAAUUCCGCGUGUAGCAGUGAAAUGCGUAGAUAUGCGGAGGAACACCGAUGGCGAAGGCAAUCCCCUGGGCCUGCACUGACGCUCAUGCACGAAAGCGUGGGGAGCAAACAGG
rnacentral:rRNA from 1 species